rnacentral:misc_RNA from 1 species
UGUACAUACAAUUUUUCCAGUACUUGUGGCCAUGACGAUGCGGAGUCAUCCUUCCUAAUGAGGUUCAACCUCCAAAUCUUGCAAUUACCAUAAGGGAGGGAUUCCCUGUCUAGCAUUUAAAUUAGAUGUGCUACCAAUGCUUCAAAAGCUAGAGGUUAGAUGAUAAUAAGCUCACAGAUAAAACCCCAGUUUUCAACUCUCAUCCAUUAUCUAUGUCAUAGUCUAGAGCGUCGGAUAAACUUUGUACCAGGGAAAGGUGAGUGCCUGCGAGCUGAAGCAAGUGGUUGCCCGUUUAGAGAGCCGUGAAAUUUAAUAUCCCAACCUUCGACAUUUUUCGGUACACAAACAUCAAAGAGAAAUUGACCGAGGACACUAUGUGCGCUAAUGCCUGGAGGGCUCGAAAGCGGAGAUGUUCUUUCUUUUGGAUCAGGCGAGGAAGGAUGCUCCCCAACAUCCUGAGAAUCUGCUGAGCUUGGCAAGAAGAAGUGAUCACUUGGCCCAACUGCCACAGCCCAGCAGA